AUUUUAUUUGUUUUUAUACACAUCUUCGUGUGAGUGGAAUACAAGGACCGUCUGAAAAGUUCAUACGAUUGAUAAAGAUGCUCUCAUGUAAUCUGACCAGAAAUAACAAAAGAGAAGAGAUGAAGAAACCAUUUAAAAAAAGAGACAACGUUAUCUGGCCAUGCUGGAGCACCACCUACAAGGGCUUAGUUGAAGAAAUCGACUGCAGUACUUUUUAAUUCUGAAACUUCAUACUUCUACCAACUGCAUCAACCCACCAUCUCUGUACCAAACGUACCCGGAUUAUGAAAUCACCCCCAAACAACACAAUGUACCAUAGUAGUCUUAUUUUGUGGUAUCUCAUUUAAAAUUUUUAUUUUCUCUUUUUUUUCUAUUUUUUGAAUUUGAUAUCAGUUGGAAUUGAAAAACUAUGGACGUCAUGUUUUUUUUUAUCGUUAUAUAAUAACAAAAACAACAGUUAAGGAUAAUGAUGACGAAAAGGGUAUGAUGAGGAUGAGAAUGACGCUGAUGACAUCAUCAUCAUCAUCAUUGCCAUCAGCAUCAAGAUAAUGUAAUAUAAAACACUUUUAAAACCUUAGAUACUUCUUACUAUUGAAUAGAAUAUAUGAACCAAAAAUCGAUUGAUUUUUACAUAAACGUACAUAGAGCAAAGCAAAAAAAAAAGACAUAACGUUAGAGAAUACACCAGAGUCAACUGAAAAUCAAAUACAGUGGGAGGAAAUGUGUGCAAAAUAUUCAGUACAAUGUAUAUCUACAAAAAGAGUUCCUUGGAACAGAAAAAUGUGUAUCGUAGCAACGUAAACGUAACCCGACAUAGCCAACAAGGAAUUCAUCUACACAUUAUGAACAACAAGUAACUAGAUAGUCAAAGUUUCUCAUUUUUUUGUUAAAGCACAUGACCAGUUGUCAUGGGAAUAUGGUAGUAGAAUCCAAUAAAUGUUGAUUGAAUGCUGAAGAGAAGCAUUAAUUCUCUGUAACAAAAAAUGGUGGUGAGAAGGGAGAGAGAAUAUCAGGAACUUCUACAGGACACAACUCCGCGAUUGUCUAGAUGACUUACAAGUUUAUGCGACUUUGUGAGAUCAUGAUAAACUCAAUCGGCCUCAUAUCCUCCGAGGUUACCUCAUCACUGACCAAUUACCUAAAUUGUGCCGCGAAAGAUGCACCGUUCUGGUAAGUGACAUCGACAGCGAUUGUCUUCUUGUAGUUCUUCCCAAAUAUUUUGAGAAUAGAUUACGAGUUUGUGUUUUUUGUAUUUUGGGGGCUUCCAUUUCUGUCUGUCGGGGUAACGUUUCUGCCAGCUUGUCGUCUCAUAUCUAAAGUCUUCAUGCUCGAAGGUACACCUGCAAUGAGAAUGCAAGGCGUUGAUGUUGCAUUGUUGUUUUUUUUUUCCUUUCUUUAUGUUUUGAAUGUCAUAUAUUUCUUUCAUUGCUUGGAGUUUGUUUCUGUAUUCAUAAAUAUUAAACUUAAUAUUUAUUUUGUUUUUCUGAUCGCUGUUUUACUCUGCCCAAUGUAAUUCUUUAUCUAUUCGUGUUUACGUUAUCAUAAAAUGGAGCUUUAGCGUGUAAUAAAGAAAUGGAUAUCUUUAAGAAAAUUUCCUUGUUGCUUAACCCUGGAACGAUAUACUCUUUCAAAAUGUUCAGUAAAUAUCCCCGUGGACAAUGAAAUCUGGAAUAUAAAUGAAUUUUUUCUUUUGUACUUGUAAAAUGCAAAAACAUGCAUGUAUAUUGUUAUAA